GCCCGUACUAUAAGAAUCUUCUAUCUUCUCAUUCGUCGGAUUAUUUUCCCAUGCGCUUCGAAUUGACAAGGACCAAUUCUGUUCAUAUCUUUCCAAAAAUCAUCUUAACUCGUUUCAAGGAACUAACUUUUUUUUUUUUCUUUCCCAGUCACCACUUCAGAAGUAAUCAAAAGCCAUUGAGAAACCAAGGCGAUGUGAUACAGUAUUAGUUGUUAGGCCAAGAUCUAGGUGAAGAAAUAUUGUACUCCUCUGACCCUUAUAGUUUGAUUCCAACUGCGACCUAAAUCGUUUCGUUUGGACUACUUGGGACGUACGUGUGAAUUCUUUUCUACAUCUCUUG
rnacentral:lncRNA from 1 species